rnacentral:rRNA from 1 species
AUUGAACGCUGGCGGCAGGCCUAACACAUGCAAGUCGAACGAGUGGCGGACGGGUGAGUAAUGUCUGGGAAACUGCCUGAUGGAGGGGGAUAACUACUGGAAACGGUAGCUAAUACCGCAUACCAUCGGAUGUGCCCAGAUGGGAUUAGCUAGUAGGUGGGGUAAAGGCUCACCUAGGCGACGAUCCCUAGCUGGUCUGAGAGGAUGACCAGCCACCCUGGAACUUAGACACGGUCAAUGCUCCUACGGGACGCAGCAGUGGGGAACAUUGCACAAUGGGCGCGAGCAUGAUGCAGCCAUGCCGCGCGUAUGGAGAAGGCCUUCGGGUUGUAAAGUACUUUCUGCGGUGAUGCGUUACCCGCAGAAGAAGCACCGGCUAACUCCGUGCCAGCAGCCGCGGUAAUAC